GAAGCGGCAACAGCUCAAAUUUGAAAUCUGGCCCCCCGCGGGCCCGAGUUGUACUUUGGAGAGGACGCUUCUGGCGCGGCGCCGUCCGAGUUCCCUGGAACGGGACGCCGGAGAGGGUGAGAGCCCCGUACGGGCGGCCGCCUAGCCUCUGCGAAGCUCCUUCGACGAGUCGAGUAGUUUGGGAAUGCUGCUCAAAAUGGGAGGUAAAUUUCUUCUAAAGCUAAAUACCGGCCAGAGACCGAUAGCGCACAAGUAGAGUGAUCGAAAGAUGAAAAGCACUUUGAAAAGAGGGUCAAACAGUACGUGAAAUUGUUGAAAGGGAAGCGCCUGUGGCCAGACUUGCGCCCCGCGGACCACCCGGCGCCUCGCGCGCCGGGGCACGCCAGCGGGGCGCAGGCCAGCAUCGGCUCUCUCGGGGGGACAAAGGCCGCGGGAACGUAGCGCCCUCGCGGCGUAUUAUAGCCCGCGGCGCCAUGCCCCCGGGGGGGCCGAGGACCGCGCUCCGGCAAGGAUGCUGGCGUAAUGGCCACCGGCGACCCGUCUUGAAACACGGACCAAGGAGUCAAGCAUUGGGGCGAGUGUCUGGGUGGCAAGCCCGCACGCGGAAUGAAAGUGAACGCAGGUGGGAGCUUCGGCGCACCACCGACCGAUCCUGAUGUCCUCGGAUGGAUUUGAGUAGGAGCCCCGCCGCUUGGACCCGAAAGAUGGUGAACUAUGCCUGUAUAGGGUGAAGCCAGAGGAAACUCUGGUGGAGGCCCGCAGCGGUUCUGACGUGCAAAUCGAUCGUC
rnacentral:rRNA from 1 species